AACGAACGCUGGCGGCGGGCCUCAUACAUGCAAGUCGAGCGCAUGUGCCGCAAGGUACAUGAGCGGCGUACGGGUGAGUAACGGGUGGAUAAUCUGCCUCCGGGUGGGGGAUAACGGCUGGAAACGGCCGCUAAUACCGCAUACGGUGGCCGGCCUUCGGGUUGGUCGAAGAAAGGGGCGUUCACAGCCUCGCCGGGAGAUGAGUCCGCCUCCGAUUAGCUAGUUGGUAGGGUAAUGGCCUACCAAGGCUUUUGAUCGGUAGCCGAACUGAGAGGUUGAUCGGCCACACUGGAACUGAGACACGGUCCAGGACACCUACGGGUGGCAGCAGUAGGGAGUAUUGCGCAAUGGGCGAAAGCCUGACGCAGCCACGCCGCGUGGAUGAUGAA
rnacentral:rRNA from 1 species